CAAUAGCGUAUAUUAAAGUUGUUGCAGUUAAAAAGCUCGUAGUUGGAUUUCUGGUGGGAGCGAUCGGUCUGGCGCUUAGCGCGAGUACUUGCAUCGUCUCCGGCCAUCCUUGGGGAGAGUCUGUCUGGCAUUAGGUUGUCGGGCAGAGGAUCCUCAUCGUUUACUGUGAAAAAAUUAGAGUGUUCAAAGCAGGCUUAUGCCGUUGAAUAUAUUAGCAUGGAAUAAUAAGAUAGGACUUUGGUACUAUUUUGUUGGUUUGCGCACCAAGGUAAUGAUUAAUAGGGACAGUUGGGGGUAUUCGUAUUCCGUUGUCAGAGGUGAAAUUCUUGGAUUUACGGAAGACGAACUACUGCGAAAGCAUUUACCAAGGAUGUUUUCAUUAA
rnacentral:rRNA from 1 species